UAUGGGGACGAAGUCCCCAAUAACAGUAGAAAAUUCAAUAAAAAAAAAAUUCGGGAAAAUUUCCCUAACUUUUUAUUGUAUACUAAUGAACUCAAAAUCGUUCAAUUUUUUUUUGUCGUGUUUUGAAAUCCCGGACCUGCGCAGAAAUGUACAAUGUACUUCCUUUUUCCGGUCUCGUUUGUAUGAAACUUUGAGUAAAAUAUAUAUUUAUCAGUCUAGUAUAAAAUAGGAAGGAACGCGCAAUACCAAUUUCAUUUUUAAUAAUUCCUUGAUAUGAAAAAACGUUACCUGAUGAUAGCGUUUCUUUGUUUACAUUGCAUAUGACGUCAUAAUUUAAAUAACGUCACAACUAAAAUCCCUAACAACAGAACCAAAAUCGGAAACGUUACGGUAUUUCCGUUUCUUUUUUUUAACAAAUAUUUAAGUUACAAAAAAAUAAUUCAUACAGACUUCGUCCCCAUUUACAGGUAAUGCCUGCCUCAUAUUAAAAGUAAACUCACGUUUCGAUUUGAUACUUUCAUUCAAGCUGCUGUCUAGAAAAGAGCUAUCAUGUUUAACGUCAUCAAUAUGAUGUUCUUUUCCAAAACUGUUGUAAAUCUCGCCAAUCAUUCUUUCUUGAUCAGAAAUAGUGUUUUCUAGAUCAUUCCAUUUGAGCCGUUCGUCAUGGUUUUCAUUAUUUAGAGCUGUAACACCCUUUUUAAGGUCUGCCAUCCGUUGUGUUAACUUUUGGUCCAAAAUAUCUAGCUUUUCAAGCAUAUCCAUUGCUGAACAACAUGUAAGCGUUGCCUGAAAAAUAUAAAAUAUAUAACAGUUGAAAAUAAGAGCCAUGUUUUUACAAACCAUAUAU
rnacentral:lncRNA from 1 species